rnacentral:lncRNA from 1 species
CACAAAGAAGUUAAGCUGUAUACCUUACGCCUUAGGGUGCGUUUGGUUCGAGUUAUCCUGGCAGAAUUACAGGCAAUCCUGCCAGGAUAACUAUGUUUGGUUAAUCCGCUAUGUAAUCUAGUCGUUAAUGUAGGAUUACAAAUCGAGCAGGAUUACAUCGAAAAUAUUAACGGGAGGGGGGUCGUGUAUCUUGCAUUACUGAAACCCGUUAAUACUACAUAUUAUGUAAAAUGACAAUUUUACCCUCCAACAACCCCAAAUCUAAUUAACAGCAUUAUUUUCAUCUCUAUCUCGCCUUCCCCCCGGCCCUCUCUCUCGCACGCCGCUUUCUCUCGCUCUCUCUCUCUGGACGUCUCUCUCUCUCUCUCUCUCUCUCUCUCUCUCUCUCUCGCACGAACACCUAUCAUCUUCUAUUGCGUCGUCCUCCCAAGUAAUCAUCACGAUCUCCUUCCCUCCAUUCGUCAUUUCCGCAAAAAAUAAUAUUCAAAUCACCACAACAAGGGCAAUUUUGGAAAAAACUAUACUUUUAUGUCAGGAUUACUAAAUUUUAUAAACUGAACCAAACAUAUUAAUGCUAUAAACACUGUAAUCUAGUAUUACAUUACUGUAUUAAACCAAACGCUCUAAUGUAGCAUUAGUAGUAAUCUCACGCCGAAAUUCAAGAUAUCUGGAUAUGUCGAGAUACUUUGUAAUAUUACAUAACUCGAACCAAACGGGCCCUUAUUAUAAAGUAUAUGUCUAGCAUUUCUCAAUUCUUAUAAAUUUUUAUGGUAUUUUCAGAAUGCGUAUAUAAAUUAAUAAAAAAAAACUUAUAUAGC